GUAGGUGAACCUGCGGAGGGAUCAUUAACACUAUUUGGCUAGUAUUGUUUAGUAUCUCGCAAGAGAGAAAACAUGAUGUUAGUUCAAAUUUUCACACACCUGUCGAAUUCGAUUACUUCGGUAAUCAAUCAUCUGUUUCAAGUAUUAGGUUGUAACUGUGACGAAGUGAGUCCAUAGCGGGCGACUUUACAACUGUGACUUGAGACGGACCCAAUUUUUGGGGAUGUUACACUUCAAAUAUCUCGACCAC
rnacentral:misc_RNA from 1 species